rnacentral:rRNA from 1 species
AGUGAACGCUGGCGGUAGGCCUAACACAUGCAAGUCGAACGGCAGCACAGUAGGAGCUUGCUCUUACGGGUGGCGAGUGGCGGACGGGUGAGGAAUACAUCGGAAUCUACUUUUUCGUGGGGGAUAACGUAGGGAAACUUACGCUAAUACCGCAUACGACCUACGGGUGAAAGCAGGGGAUCUUCGGACCUUGCGCGAUUGAAUGAGCCGAUGUCGGAUUAGCUAGUUGGCGGGGUAAAGGCCCACCAAGGCGACGAUCCGUAGCUGGUCUGAGAGGAUGAUCAGCCACACUGGAACUGAGACACGGUCCAGACUCCUACGGGAGGCCGCAGUGGGGAAUAUUGGACAAUGGGCGCAAGCCUUAUCCAGCCAUACCGCGUGGGUGAAGAAGGCCUUCGGGUUGUAAAGCCCUUUUGUUGGGAAAGAAAAGCAGCAGGUUAAUACCCCGCUGUUCUGACGGUACCCAAAGAAUAAGCACCGGCUAACUUCGUG